rnacentral:rRNA from 1 species
GACGAACGCUGGCGGCGUGCUUAACACAUGCAAGUCGAACGGUGAUCCGGGUACUUGUACCUGGUGAUCAGUGGCGAACGGGUGAGUAACACGUGAGUAACCUGCCCUUCACUCUGGGAUAACUCCGGGAAACCGGGGCUAAUACCGGAUAUGACACCAAUCCGCAUGGGUAUGGUGUGGAAAGUUUUUCGGUGGAGGAUGGACUCGCGGCCUAUCAGCUUGUUGGUGAGGUAAUGGCUCACCAAGGCGACGACGGGUAGCCGGCCUGAGAGGGCGUCCGGCCACACUGGGACUGAGACACGGCCCAGACUCCUACGGGAGGCAGCAGUGGGGAAUAUUGCACAAUGGGCGAAAGCCUGAUGCAGCGACGCCGCGUGAGGGAUUAAGGCCUUCGGGUUGUAAACCUCUUUCAGCAGGGAAGAAGCGCAAGUGACGGUACCUGCAGAAGAAGCACCGGCUAACUACGUGCCAGCAGCCGCGGUAAUACGUAGGGUGCGAGCGUUGUCCGGAAUUAUUGGGCGUAAAGAGCUUGUAGGCGGUUUGUCGCGUCUGCUGUGAAAUCUCAAGGCUCAACCUUGAGCUUGCAGUGGGUACGGGCAGACUAGAGUGUGGUAGGGGAGACUGGAAUUCCUGGUGUAGCGGUGAAAUGCGCAGAUAUCAGGAGGAACACCGAUGGCGAAGGCAGGUCUCUGGGCCACUACUGACGCUGAGAAGCGAAAGCAUGGGGAGCGAACAGGAUUAGAUACCCUGGUAGUCCAUGCCGUAAACGUUGGGAACUAGGUGUGGGCCUCAUUCCACGAGGUCCGUGCCGCAGCUAACGCAUUAAGUUCCCCGCCUGGGGAGUACGGCCGCAAGGCUAAAACUCAAAGGAAUUGACGGGGGCCCGCACAAGCGGCGGAGCAUGCGGAUUAAUUCGAUGCAACGCGAAGAACCUUACCAAGGCUUGACAUAUACCGGAAAAGUGCAGAGAUGUGCUCCCCGCAAGGUCGGUAUACAGGUGGUGCAUGGUUGUCGUCAGCUCGUGUCGUGAGAUGUUGGGUUAAGUCCCGCAACGAGCGCAACCCUCGUUCUAUGUUGCCAGCACGUGAUGGUGGGGACUCAUAGGAGACUGCCGGGGUCAACUCGGAGGAAGGUGGGGAUGACGUCAAAUCAUCAUGCCCCUUAUGUCUUGGGCUUCACGCAUGCUACAAUGGCCAGUACAAAGGGCUGCGAGACCGUAAGGUGGAGCGAAUCCCAAAAAACUGGUCUCAGUUCGGAUUGGGGUCUGCAACUCGACCCAUGAAGUCGGAGUCGCUAGUAAUCGCAGAUCAGCAACGCUGCGGUGAAUACGUUCCCGGGCCUUGUACACACCGCCCGUCAAGUCACGAAAGUUGGUAACACCCGAAGCCGGUGGCCUAACUCGUAAGAGGAGGAGCCGUCGAAGGUGGGACUGGCGAUUGGGAC